rnacentral:rRNA from 1 species
AGGAGCUUGCUCUUCUUGGAUGAGUUGCGAACGGGUGAGUAACGCGUAGGUAACCUGCCUGGUAGCGGGGGAUAACUAUUGNAAACGAUAGCUAAUACCGCAUAAUANUANAUGUUGCAUGACAUUUGCUUAAAAGGUGCAAUUGCAUCACUACCANAUGGACCUGCGUUGUAUUANCUAGUUGGUGAGGUAACGGCUCACCAAGGCAACGAUACAUAGCCGACCUGANAGGGUGAUCGGCCACNCUGGGACUGANACACGGCCCANACUCCUACGGGAGGCAGCAGUAGGGAAUCUUCGGCAAUGGACGGAAGUCUGACCGANCAACGCCGCGUGAGUGAANAAGGUUUUCGGAUCGUAAAGCUCUGUUGUAANANAANAACGANUGUGANAGUGGAAAGUUCACACUGUGACGGUAUCUUACCANAAAGGGACGGCUAACUACNUGCCANCANCCGCGGUAAUACGUAGGUCCCGAGCGUUGUCCGGAUUUAUUGGGCGUAAAGCGAGCGCAGGCGGUUAGAUAAGUCUGAAGUUAAAGGCUGUGGCUUAACCAUANUACGCUUUGGAAACUGUUUAACUUGAGUGCAAGAGGGGAGAGUGGAAUUCCAUGUGUAGCGGUGAAAUGCGUANAUAUAUGGAGGANCACCGGUGGCGAAAGCGGCUCUCUGGCUUGUAACUGACGCUGAGGCUCGAAAGCGUGGGGAGCAAACAGGAUUANAUACCCUGGUAGUCCACGCCGUAAACGAUGAGUGCUAGGUGUUAGACCCUUUCCGGGGUUUAGUGCCGCANCUAACGCAUUAAGCACUCCGCCUGGGGAGUACNACCGCAAGGUUGAAACUCAAAGGAAUUGANGGGGGCCCGCACAA